AUGGAGGCCGCACGCGAGGAGGACGGCGGCGGCCGCGGCGACGACAAGCUGCCGCAGGUGGUGUUCGACCGCAUCCUUCGGCGUCAGGUGGUGUACGACGCGCUCAAGCACGGGGGCAGGCACAUUGGCGCUCGGCACCGCCUACUGCUCCUUGUCACCGCCGCACAGAUGCAGCAGCUCCCCACAGCCGCACAGAUCCGGCAGCUUCUCACCGCCACAGAUCCUCUUCCUGCAGCUCCUCCUACUCCAGCAGCUCCUCCGGCGGUAAAAAUCGAAUCUUGGGACAACUAA
rnacentral:rRNA from 1 species